ACACCUCACAAAAUGUCCAUUUUUUGUCAAUUCCAGUGUUACAGUCCUUCCACAGAUAGUGUUGUUCAUUUGAAGAUAGAAUAUUACAUAUUUCGUUGUAAUUCUCAUUCACAGAAAAGUUAGUCGGUUUACAGAAAGCAUUUCCGUUGUUUUCAAUGGAAAUGUCACAAGAAUGGUAGUAGGUUGGUCUGGAAUUACAUCAUAGAAUCAAAUCCCCCUCCGUUCUCCCCCAUCCCCUCAUCAGCACUGGAAAGAAACGGAUUUAUUCACUUACAGAGGAACAAAUUUUCUUAUGUUUAUUUGUGGU
rnacentral:lncRNA from 1 species